GCUGGGGUGGUGUAGUGGCAAUCGCGUCUGUUUAACACAAUCCUAUACUCGUCAAGAGUCAUGGGAACAAUUACAGAAGACCGAGGGUUCGAGUCCCUCCUCUAGUA